rnacentral:tRNA from 1 species
AAAGGUAUGGCUCAAGUGGUAGAGCACGUGCCUAUCAUGCACAAGGCCUGAGAUCAAUCUCUAGUACCAUCA